rnacentral:tRNA from 7 species
GGGAAUAUAAUUUAAUAGGCUAGAGUAAUUACUUUUAUAAGUAAUGGUACUGGUUCAAUUCCAGUUGUUCCCU